UCUUUGUUUGAUUCCUUGCACGUGAUAUUUCUAUUUUCUUGCUGAUUAUUGCUUGAUUUAAAGUCUAAAGGGAAAGUGGGUUUUCUAUAUGACAUUCUUGUCUGUUGCAUUGCAUCCCAUUGGUCAAAACUUCUUAACUCUUAACUUUUAAUUUCAUGAUUAGGAUUAGUCUCUUCAUCUUCUCCCACUUCUUAAAUUUCAAAUCUCU
rnacentral:lncRNA from 1 species